AGCGAACGUUAGCGGCAGGCCUAACACAUGCAAGUCGCACGAGAAUCCGGCUUCGGUCGGUAGUAAAGUGGCGGACGGGUGCGUAACACGUGGAUAAUCUGCCCUUCGGCGGGGGACAACAGUCCGAAAGGAUUGCUAAUACCGCGUACGUCGGCUGGCUCUUCGGAGCUAGUCGGGAAAGACGGCCUCUUCAUGAAAGCUGUCACCGAAGGAUGAGUCCGCGGCCCAUCAGCUAGUUGGCGGGGUAAUGGCCCACCAAGGCAUAGACGGGUAGCUGGUCUGAGAGGAUGAUCAGCCACACUGGAACUGAGACACGGUCCAGACUUCUACGGAAGGCAGCAGUGGGGAAUAUUGGGCAAUGGGCGCAAGCCUGACCCAGCCAUGCCGCGUGAGUGAUGAAGGCCUU
rnacentral:rRNA from 1 species